rnacentral:rRNA from 1 species
UACAGAGGUGGCAAGCGUUGUUCGGCAUUACUGGGCGUAAAGGGCGCGUAGGCGGCCUGUUAAGUCCCGUGUGAAAUCCCUCGGCUCAACCGAGGAACUGCACGGGAAACUGGCGUGCUUGAGUUCGGGAGAGGGAAUCGGAAUUCCGGGUGUAGGGGUGAAAUGCGUAGAUAUCCGGAGGAACACCGGUGGCGAAGGCGGCUUCCUGGACCGACACGGACGCUGAGGCGCGAAAGCUAGGGGAGCAAACGGG